rfam:Brachypodium distachyon strain Bd21 chromosome 1, whole genome shotgun sequence.
GAUGGCAGUGACGACUUGCUAAUAUUCAAGCUCAACAGACCAAAUCACAGGUCAUCUCUUCAGAGUAUGAUCUGUAUGCCGAGUAUCCCGCUGAACUGAGCCAUC